rfam:Triticum aestivum genome assembly, contig: Triticum_aestivum_CS42_TGACv1_scaffold_224240_3B
CUUGUACUACCUCCGUCCGAAAAUACUUCAUUGAAAUGGAUGUAUCUAGAUGUAUUUUAGUUCUAGACACAUCCAUUUUGAUGACAAGUAAUUCCGGACGGAGGGAGUACUUG